rnacentral:misc_RNA from 1 species
CAGAGUUCAUGCCCUUCGGGGUAGAUCUCCACCCGUGUUUAUUUAUACCUUUGUUGCUUUGGCAGGCCGUCAGGCUUCGGCCAGACUACCGGCUCACGCUGGUAAGUGCCUGCCAGAGGAAAUCAAACUCUGUAAUCAGUGUCGUCUGAGUAAAAUUUAAUAAGUUA